rnacentral:rRNA from 1 species
UCGAGAAUAUUCCACAAUGGGCGAAAGCCUGAUGGAGCGACGCCGCGUGCAGGAAGAAGGCCUUCGGGUUGUAAACUGCGGUAGUAGAUUAGAAACUUCGGUGAUCGAUCUACGGAAAGAGGUUGGUAACUACGUGCCAGCACCCGCGGUAAUACGUAGACCUCAAGCGUUAUCCGGAUUUAUUGGGCGUAAAGGGUGUGUAGGGGGUUUCAUAAGUCAGACGUUAAAUUUCGGAGCCUAACUUCGAAACCGCGCCUGAUACUGUGAGACUAGAGGGUGCAAGAGGUGCGCGGAACACAUGGUGUAGGGGUGACAUCCGUUGAUAUCAUGUGGAACACCAAAGGCGAAGGCAGCGCACUGGGGCAUUCCUGACCCUGAAACACGAAAGCGUGGGGAGCAAAAAGGAUUAGAUACCCCUGUAGUCC